UACGGAGGGUGCAGGCGUUAUCCGGAUUUACUGGGUUUAAAGGGUGCGUAGGCGGAUAAGUAAGUCCGUGGUGAAAUCCUGCAGCUUAACUGCAGAACUGCCGUGGAUACUAUUUGUCUUGAAUAUCGUGGAGGUUAGCGGAAUAUGUCAUGUAGCGGUGAGAUGCUUAGAUAUGACAUAGAACACCCAUUGCGAAGGCAGCUAACUACGCGAUUAUUGACGCUGAUGCACGAAAGCGUGGGGAUCAAACAGG
rnacentral:rRNA from 1 species